AAAGACUGGGAUUGGAUGAGGACAAAGGAAGAGCAUGCUUAAUUUGAAACAGCAAGGCGUGUGAAUAACCCUCUCCUGGCUUAUCUUCAUGGAACUCAGUGAAGCUUUUCACAGAAUUCAAAUUAUUUGCAAGACUUUAGGUUUUCUGACUUUUUUGUGUUCUUUUUCAGUAAAAAUUGUAUGUUGAGGUGACAAUACAGGAUCAUCCCUAAAUGUUAGGUCCCAGCUUUGCAUAUGACCCACACAAGAUAAAGUAGAUUAAGGGWAGGAGCAUUAUGUGUUGUACUAUGUGAGAUAUUAGAAAUUUGAAGGCUGUGAAUGRACAGGAUGACUACUUAGAAACUUUUUGUCUCUGUAAGAAGAAAGUUAAAAUGUUUUCAUUAUUUCCUUCAUGGUGUGAUAUCUGAAUA